rnacentral:rRNA from 1 species
GGGUUGUGAGGUUAAGCGACUAAGCGUACACGGUGGAUGCCCUGGCAGUCAGAGGCGAUGAAGGGCGUGCUAAUCUGCGAUAAGCGCCGGUAAGGUGAUAUGAACCGUUAUAACCGGCGAUACCCGAAUGGGGAAACCCAGUGUGAUUCGUCACACUAUCAUUAACUGAAUCCAUAGGUUAAUGAGGCGAACCGGGGGAACUGAAACAUCUAAGUACCCCGAGGAAAAGAAAUCAACCGAGAUUCCCCCAGUAGCGGCGAGCGAACGGGGAGGAGCCCAGAGCCUGAAUCAGCAUGUGUGUUAGUGGAAGCGUCUGGAAAGGCGCGCGAUACAGGGUGACAGCCCCGUACACAAAAGCGCAUGUGCUGUGAGCUCGAUGAGUAGGGCGGGACACGUGGUAUCCUGUCUGAAUAUGGGGGGACCAUCCUCCAAGGCUAAAUACUCCUGACUGACCGAUAGUGAACCAGUACCGUGAGGGAAAGGCGAAAAGAACCCCGGCGAGGGGAGUGAAAAAGAACCUGAAACCGUGUACGUACAAGCAGUGGGAGCACAGGUUUACCUGUGUGACUGCGUACCUUUUGUAUAAUGGGUCAGCGACUUAUAUUCUGUAGCAAGGUUAACCGAAUAGGGGAGCCGGAGGGAAACCGAGUCUUAAUUGGGCGUUAAGUUGCAGGGUAUAGACCCGAAACCCGGUGAUCUAGCCAUGGGCAGGUUGAAGGUUGGGUAACACUAACUGGAGGACCGAACCGACUAAUGUUGAAAAAUUAGCGGAUGACCUGUGGCUGGGGGUGAAAGGCCAAUCAAACCGGGAGAUAGCUGGUUCUCCCCGAAAGCUAUUUAGGUAGCGCCUCGUGAAUUCAUCUCCGGGGGUAGAGCACUGUUUCGGCUAGGGGGCCAUCCCGGCUUACCAACCCGAUGCAAACUGCGAAUACCGGAGAAUGUUAUCACGGGAGACACACGGCGGGUGCUAACGUCCGUCGUGAAGAGGGAAACAACCCAGACCGCCAGCUAAGGUCCCAAAGUCAUGGUUAAGUGGGAAACGAUGUGGGAAGGCCCAGACAGCCAGGAUGUUGGCUUAGAAGCAGCCAUCAUUUAAAGAAAGCGUAAUAGCUCACUGGUCGAGUCGGCCUGCGCGGAAGAUGUAACGGGGCUAAACCAUGCACCGAAGCUGCGGCAGCGANNGUUGGGUAGGGGAGCGUUCUGUAAGCCUGUGAAGGUGGCCUGUGAGGGUUGCUGGAGGUAUCAGAAGUGCGAAUGCUGACAUAAGUAACGAUAAAGCGGGUGAAAAGCCCGCUCGCCGGAAGACCAAGGGUUCCUGUCCAACGUUAAUCGGGGCAGGGUGAGUCGACCCCUAAGGCGAGGCCGAAAGGCGUAGUCGAUGGGAAACGGGUUAAUAUUCCCGUACUUGGUGUUACUGCGAAGGGGGGACGGAGAAGGCUAUGUUGGCCGGGCGACGGUUGUCCCGGUUUAAGCGUGUAGGUGUGUGUUCCAGGUAAAUCCGGUUCACUUUAACACUGAGGCGUGAUGACGAGGCACUACGGUGCUGAAGUAACAAAUGCCCUGCUUCCAGGAAAAGCCUCUAAGCAUCAGGUAACAUCAAAUCGUACCCCAAACCGACACAGGUGGUCAGGUAGAGAAUACCAAGGCGCUUGAGAGAACUCGGGUGAAGGAACUAGGCAAAAUGGUGCCGUAACUUCGGGAGAAGGCACGCUGACACGUAGGUGAAGUGAUUUACUCAUGGAGCUGAAGUCAGUCGAAGAUACCAGCUGGCUGCAACUGUUUAUUAAAAACACAGCACUGUGCAAACACGAAAGUGGACGUAUACGGUGUGACGCCUGCCCGGUGCCGGAAGGUUAAUUGAUGGGGUCAGCGCAAGCGAAGCUCCUGAUCGAAGCCCCGGUAAACGGCGGCCGUAACUAUAACGGUCCUAAGGUAGCGAAAUUCCUUGUCGGGUAAGUUCCGACCUGCACGAAUGGCGUAAUGAUGGCCAGGCUGUCUCCACCCGAGACUCAGUGAAAUUGAACUCGCUGUGAAGAUGCAGUGUACCCGCGGCAAGACGGAAAGACCCCGUGAACCUUUACUAUAGCUUGACACUGAACAUUGAGCCUUGAUGUGUAGGAUAGGUGGGAGGCUUUGAAGUGUGGACGCCAGUCUGCAUGGAGCCGACCUUGAAAUACCACCCUUUAAUGUUUGAUGUUCUAACGUGGACCCGUGAUCCGGGUUGCGGACAGUGUCUGGUGGGUAGUUUGACUGGGGCGGUCUCCUCCUAAAGAGUAACGGAGGAGCACGAAGGUUGGCUAAUCCUGGUCGGACAUCAGGAGGUUAGUGCAAUGGCAUAAGCCAGCUUGACUGCGAGCGUGACGGCGCGAGCAGGUGCGAAAGCAGGUCAUAGUGAUCCGGUGGUUCUGAAUGGAAGGGCCAUCGCUCAACGGAUAAAAGGUACUCCGGGGAUAACAGGCUGAUACCGCCCAAGAGUUCAUAUCGACGGCGGUGUUUGGCACCUCGAUGUCGGCUCAUCACAUCCUGGGGCUGAAGUAGGUCCCAAGGGUAUGGCUGUUCGCCAUUUAAAGUGGUACGCGAGCUGGGUUUAGAACGUCGUGAGACAGUUCGGUCCCUAUCUGCCGUGGGCGCUGGAGAACUGAGGGGGGCUGCUCCUAGUACGAGAGGACCGGAGUGGACGCAUCACUGGUGUUCGGGUUGUCAUGCCAAUGGCACUGCCCGGUAGCUAAAUGCGGAAGAGAUAAGUGCUGAAAGCAUCUAAGCACGAAACUUGCCCCGAGAUGAGUUCUCCCUGAGACU